rnacentral:rRNA from 1 species
ACGCUGGCGGCGUGCCUAAUACAUGCAAGUAGAACGCUGAAGGAGGAGCUUGCUUCUCUGGAUGAGUUGCGAACGGGUGAGUAACGCGUAGGUAACCUGCCUGGUAGCGGGGGAUAACUAUUGGAAACGAUAGCUAAUACCGCAUAAUAGUAGAUGUUGCAUGACAUUUGCUUAAAAGAUGCAAUAGCAUCACUACCAGAUGGACCUGCGUUGUAUUAGCUAGUUGGUGGGGUAACGGCUCACCAAGGUGACGAUACAUAGCCGACCUGAGAGGGUGAUCGGCCACACUGGGACUGAGACACGGCCCAGACCCCUACGGGAGGCAGCAGUAGGGAAUCUUCGGCAAUGGACGAAAGUCUGACCGAGCAACGCCGCGUGAGUGAAGAAGGUUUUCGGAUCGUAAAGCUCUGUUGUAAGAGAAGAACGAGUGUGAGAGUGGAAAGUUCACACUGUGACGGUAUCUUACCAGAAAGGGACGGCUAACUACGUGCCAGCAGCCGCGGUAAUACGUAGGUCCCGAGCGUUGUCCGGAUUUAUUGGGCGUAAAGCGAGCGCAGGCGGUUAGAUAAGUCUGAAGUUAAAGGCUGUGGCUUAACCAUAGUACGCUUUGGAAACUGUUUAACUUGAGUGCAAGAGGGGAGAGUGGAAUUCCAUGUGUAGCGGUGAAAUGCGUAGAUAUAUGGAGGAACACCGGUGGCGAAAGCGGCUCUCUGGCUUGUAACUGACGCUGAGGCUCAAAAGCGUGGGGAGCAAACAGGAUUAGAUACCCUGGUAGUCCACGCCGUAAACGAUGAGUGCUAGGUGUUAGACCCUUUCCGGGGUUUAGUGCCGCAGCUAACGCAUUAAGCACUCCGCCUGGGGAGUACGACCGCAAGGUUGAAACUCAAAGGAAUUGACGGGGGCCCGCACAAGCGGUGGAGCAUGU